UUGCUUGCUGUCAAUCACUUUUCCAAUCUGCGCUCCACGAACUUAUACUGGCUCAACUCGGCAAACAUUGCUCUCAUCCCAAAGAAGGAUGGAGCAGAAUGCAUCUCGCAUUUCCGCCCCAUUAGCCUCAUCCACACCAUCGCGAAGAUCAUUGCGAAGAUGAUGGCUAACCGGCUGGCCCCCACAUGCAUGCAUGACCUUGUCUACAACGCUCAGAGUGCAUUCAUCAAAAAGAUAAGCACCCAUGAC
rnacentral:rRNA from 1 species